rnacentral:rRNA from 1 species
GACGAACGCUGGCGGCGUGCCUAAUACAUGCAAGUUGAGCGAUGAAGCUUGGUGCUUGCACCAAUUUGAAGAGCAGCGAACGGGUGAGUAACGCGUGGGGAAUCUGCCUUUGAGCGGGGGACAACAUUUGGAAACGAAUGCUAAUACCGCAUAAUAACUUUAAACAUAAGUUUUAAGUUUGAAAGAUGCAAUUGCAUCACUCAAAGAUGAUCCCGCGUUGUAUUAGCUAGUUGGUGAGGUAAAGGCUCACCAAGGCGAUGAUACAUAGCCGACCUGAGAGGGUGAUCGGCCACAUUGGGACCGAGACACGGCCCAAACUCCUACGGGAGGCAGCAGUAGGGAAUCUUUGGCCAUGGACGAAAGUCUGACCGAGCAACGCCGGGUGAGGGAAGAAGGGUUUCGGAUCGUAAAACUCCGUUGGUAGAGAAGAACGUUGGUGAGAGUGGAAAGCUCAUCAAGUGACGGUAACUACCCAGAAAGGGACGGCUAACUACGUG